rnacentral:rRNA from 1 species
AGCGGCGGACGGGUGAGUAACGCGUGGGUAACCUGCCCUGUACACACGGAUAACAUACCGAAAGGUAUGCUAAUACGAGAUAAUAUGCUUUUAUCGCAUGGUAGAAGUAUCAAAGCUCCGGCGGUACAGGAUGGACCCGCGUCUGAUUAGCUAGUUGGUGAGGUAAUGGCUCACCAAGGCGACGAUCAGUAGCCGACCUGAGAGGGUGAUCGGCCACAUUGGAACUGAGACACGGUCCAAACUUC